GGGGGUUUCCGCCCCUUAGUGCUGCAGCUAACGCAUUAAGCACUCCGCCUGGGGAGUACGACCGCAAGGUUGAAACUCAAAGGAAUUGACGGGGGCCCGCACAAGCGGUGGAGCAUGUGGUUUAAUUCGAAGCAACGCGAAGAACCUUACCAGGUCUUGACAUCCUUUGACCACUCUGGAGACAGAGCUUUCCCUUCGGGGACAAAGUGACAGGUGGUGCAUGGUUGUCGUCAGCUCGUGUCGUGAGAUGUUGGGUUAAGUCCCGCAACGAGCGCAACCCUUGAUUUUAGUUGCCAGCAUUUAGUUGGGCACUCUAAAGUGACUGCCGGUGCAAGCCGGAGGAAGGUGGGGAUGACGUCAAAUCAUCAUGCCCCUUAUGACCUGGGCUACACACGUGCUACAAUGGAUAGUACAAAGGGUCGCGAAGCCGCGAGGUGGAGCUAAUCCCAUAAAACUAUUCUCAGUUCGGAUUGUAGGCUGCAACUCGCCUACAUGAAGCCGGAAUCGCUAGUAAUCGUGGAUCAGCAUGCCACGGUGAAUACGUUCCCGGGCCUUGUACACACCGCCCGUCACACCACGAGAGUUUGUAACACCCGAAGUCGGUAGGGUAACCUUUAUGGAGCCAGCCGCCGAAGGUGGGACAGAUAAUUGGGGUGAAGUCGUAACAAGGUAGCCGUAUCGGAAGGUGC
rnacentral:rRNA from 1 species